UAAUGCCCCAAUUACUUUUAUCUUCAAGCCAUUCUCUUCUUUAUAUUUCUUUAAAAGAACGUGCGAGUUUAAUCGCUCUGCUUCUAUAGUUGAAGGCAUGUACAGUGGCACUUGCAUGCAUGUAUGUGAAGUAGACAAGCAAUGAGUGUACCGCCCAGAGGUUGCCAUGCGGAUGCUCUUUGGACUAUGAUAUGAAUAUGAAGGCAUUUGUUUUAGUGCCAAAUAUUAGUUACUAAUGCCCGCAAAGUAUCAUUGCAUAUUAUAUUUGCUAUGGAGCUUUGUAUGUAUGGAUGCUAUGGAACUAUAUGUAUAUAUCGAUGCUAUGGAAUUUUGGAUGUA